UACAGAGGGUGCGAGCGGUAAUCGGAAUUACUGGGUGUAAAGCGCGCGUAGGCGGCUUUGCAAGUCGGGUGUGAAAUCCCCAGGCUUAACCUGGGAACUGCAUUCGAGACUGCAUUGCUAGAGUAUGGGAGAGGGAAGUGGAAUUUCCGGUGUAGCGGUGAAAUGCGUAGAUAUCGGAAGGAACAUCAGUGGCGAAAGCGACUUCCUGGACCAAUACUGACGCUCAUGUGCGAAAGCGUGGGGAGCAAACAGG
rnacentral:rRNA from 1 species